GCUAUUGGCCGAGCGAGGGGAAGGGCCGGCGGCGGCCCACAGGGCCGAGACCAGUGAGGCGGGAAUCGCGGAUGGGGACGGCCGGAGAGUGUAGCGGCGCGAGGCCGGAGGCCGGCCCGUUUUUCACCUUGGCCGAGGUGGCGAAGCGCAGCACCGACCGGGAGGCCUGGCUGGUCAUCCACGAUCGCGUCUAUGACGUCACCCGCUUCCUCGACGAGCAUCCAGGUGGAGAUAAGGUUCUGCUUGAACAAGCUGGUAGAGAUGCCACAGAGAGCUUUGAAGAUGUUGGCCAUUCCAUGGAUGCUAAAGAAAUGCUCAAGCAGUAUCUCAUAGGAGAGAUCCAUCCGGAUGAUCGCAAACCUGAUGCUUCCAAGGCAGCAUCUUUCUACCCUGCAAGGGAUGCCGCUUGUCAGUCUUCCACCAUGGAAGGAAAAUUGUUUGAGUACUUGGGGACCUGCUUUGAUUGGACCUGUGUCCAGAGGCAGCAGACUUCUGACUGCCAGCUCUUGGGGGCCUCCAAGAGAAAAGGACUUUAUCUUUUUGUCCUUUAUGGGCCUCCUGAGGGGAUAGACGGAUCCUUGGCUGAAUAGGAGAAAGUCCUCUGGGGCAGAGAUCCUUGGGCUUAUGAUGAGCAUGAUGUCCCAGCUUAUAGCUCACUGAACUUGUGCUGAGAGAGUCAUCAAACUUUCAGAUGCCGUGGGUGGCCUUGAUUUCUCCCAAGGGGCCUGAGGUUCCAAGCCCAUUCCGUGAGUCAAGCAUCUGGACGGUCUGGCUGAUCCCUAUUCUGGGAGCCUUGGUUCUGGGCUUGAUGUAUCGUUACUACAUAACGGAUGGGAAAUCCUCCUGACCCGAGUCUGCAGUUAUCUGCACCCACGUCACUCCGUUGACAGCUGUAGAUGUUUUUUUAACUUCUGAUGGCUUCCAGAUGUCUUUCACUUCUAUCCAUCAGUUUAGUGCCUCUGCUACCUGCAAAGCCAACCAACGAUCUAGGAAAACCACCAUCUUUGCUGUAAACUCCAGGAUCUGUCAUUCCACUGUGAUGUGCUUUUUCAGGCAUCGGCUACAAGUCAUUUUUAUUUAACUGGUUCUGAUGUUGUAGAGUGGCAGUCUCCACCUUUGUCAAUUUAUCCUAUCAAGCACUAUUAGCAGCUGGUAGGCAGCCACGUUCCCUGCAAAAAAUUAUCCCACCAGCAUCUGCCAACAGGGCUUGCUUGGGAGGAUUUUCUGUAAGCUUCUCUUGUACUUGGAUUUCCAACUGUUAAUUCACUGUAUUUUUAAUUAUGUUUCGGUUUACUUACUGGUAGUCCUGUUUCAUUGUAUGCCUUCUGAAUUGGCCUGUUCUGUAAUAAAAGUUUCUCUAGACCA